rnacentral:rRNA from 1 species
UACGUAGGCAGCAAGCGUUGUUCGGAGUUACUGGGCGUAAAGGGUGUGUAGGCGGUUCUUUAAGUUUGGUGUGAAAUCUCCCGGCUCAACCGGGAGGGUGCGCCGAAUACUGAGGAGCUAGAGUGCGGGAGAGGAAAGUGGAAUUCCUGGUGUAGCGGUGAAAUGCGUAGAUAUCAGGAGGAACACCUGUGGCGAAAGCGGCUCACUGGACCACAACUGACGCUGAAGCACGAAAGCUAGGGGAGCAAACAGG